GCCAGCAGCCAUAUUACCCUGCAACUCACAACUGGCAGCCCACUGAAGCUAAGCAGGUGUGAGCCUGGUCUGUACCUGGAUGGGACACCUCCUGGAAAAGCUAAGGUUGCUGCUGGAA
rnacentral:rRNA from 1 species